UACGAAGGGGGCUAGCGUUGCUCGGAAUCACUGGGCGUAAAGCGCACGUAGGCGGCUUCUUAAGUCAGGGGUGAAAUCCUGGAGCUCAACUCCAGAACUGCCUUUGAUACUGAGGAGCUUGAGUCCGGGAGAGGUGAGUAGAAUUGCGAGUGUAGAGGUGAAAUUCGUAGAUAUUCGCAAGAACACCAGUGGCGAAGGCGGCUCACUGGCCCGGUACUGACGCUGAGGUGCGAAAGCGUGGGGAGCAAACAGG
rnacentral:rRNA from 1 species